GACGAACGCUGGCGGCGUGCUUAACACAUGCAAGUCGAACGGAAACGCAGUGAUUGUGUGCGGUGAUCGAGGGGCAAACGGGGGAGUGACACGAGUAUAACCUGCCCUUGUUUUUGGGAGGACAUCAGGAAAGGGGGGCUAAGACAAUAUAGGAGCUGCUGCUCCGUGGUGGGCGUGGGAAAGUUUCGGCGGUUGGGGUUGGAUUCGCGGCUUACCGGCUUGUUGGUGGGGGAGGGGCAUACCAAGGCUUGGACGGGUCCCCGGCCUUAGAGGGGGGACGGCCACAAGGGGACUAAGAGACGGACCAGACGCCUACGGGAGGCAGCGGUGGGGAGUCUGACCCAGUGGGAGCGAGCCUGAGGCAGCAACGCCGGGUGUGGGAUGACGGCCUUCUGGUAGUAAACCGCUUUCGCCUGUGACGAAGCGUGUGUGACGGUACCGGGAGAAGAAGCACCGGCUAACUACGUG
rnacentral:rRNA from 1 species